ensembl:lncRNA
AUUGCCUCAUUUGACAAGGAUCUGGAGACAGCAGCUCGCUUUGGAUCCCAGAGAUGAUUCCAGAUGGAAAGAAGGAAGGAAAGGAGGGAAGAAGAACACAUUUAUAGAAACCAUGGAUUAUUUUUAAGUGCCUUAAAAUAUGGAUUCUGCAUCAGCAGUUGUGGGAAGAGGCAGGACUCUGUAUUUCUAACAAGACCACAGGUGAUGCUGACACUCAUGGUCCUCAGACCACACUGAAUGAUGAGGCCUUUCAACUCAGAAUCCAGACUUAAGACCAAAUAAGGAUCUUAUGGCUGAAAAGCUUCCAGGUACACUUCUCUGAGUAACCAGUACACUGGGGAAAAAGUGGAAACCAGGACUGUUCCAGGCAAGCCUAGCUGUUGGGGACCCUCCCAUACCAUGCGGCUGGCCAGCCUCUCCUGCAUAUAGCGUCCACCCCUAAUGAGAUCCUGGAAGAGCAUUGCCUGCUUGCCUUGUACACCCUCCUCAGUACUCAGGCAACCACGUUUCCUAGAGAUUAUCUCAAGAAAACCUCGAGGGACUUGUCAUCAGGUCUCAUGUCCAGGUGCAGAUCCCCUAGUUAUGGCCCCGAACAGAUACAUCCUCCUGCAAACAGGCUUUUGACGUGUACUAAGGAAGCUUUGGCAAUUUAUAUCACCCCCAGUAGUAUGGAUAUUAAAGGAUGUUAAUAUAUCAUUUAAUGUUAAUGUUGUCAGAAGCAGAAGGUGGAGCCAGCAAGCAAUUCAGCAGACAAGGGAAAUCAGCACCAUGAGCUCGCAUCCACAGCUGUUGCUGUCCCUGUGUCCUUAGGAAGAGCUAUCUGAUGGAAGAAGGUCUCAUUUGAGCUCUGUGGUCUUGGUUUCUGCCCUGUUUUCUUCAUUUCAUCAAGUGUAGCUCUCCAUCUAUGAAAGCCAGCAACCCUCAGCUUGGCCACGCUGUGGGCACAAAGUCACACCAGCUGUAAAACCCACCUCUCACUGAAGAAAAAGCCCCUGGUGCUCAAACAGGAAGUCCAGUCUCUGCAGCUGCCUUAGAAGACUUUGUUCUGGGAGCCCCGUCUUCCCCAGAGGCAUCUGGCAAGAGUUCGCAAACCCCCCUGCCAGAAGCAUCACUGUGGGUAUCUGCUCUUUGCGCUUCCCACUGCUCUUCUGGGGAACUCUGCUUAAAAGCCACCCACGGAAGCUUCGCAGUUUUUCCUGUUGCCAAUGCUAACCAAGAAAAAUCGAGUCUAAGCAGGGGCUGCCUGCCGAAGCCGCCUAGGCUGUUGCUUGUCCAGGGGCCAGCGUGGAGCCAGGUUCCAUGCAGAAGUGGGGAGAAAGGCUGUUUCCUCCGCCCUCUGCGCUGCUCUCCCAGGGGAAGCAGGGACUCUGGCUCACCAAUUCUGCAAGAAGCCACUUUAACUCUCAGUCUGCUCUGGCCAGCUUCCCCGCUUCAUGGUGCGGAUGCAGUGGCAGCCCGUCGAGUUCAUUCGCUACAGGAAAGGGGAUGGUAAAUGGACUGUUAAGAGGAAGCCGGUCCUGGCAGGGUGCUUUUGAUGGGCAAAAGGACAUGAUGACAGGCGCCGACGAAGCAUUCCUCUCCACCUUGUGGGAAAGAGCACAAGCCUGGAACAGGUGCAGUCACACACACACACACACACACACACACACACACACCCACACACACACCCACCCACACACACACACCCCCUGCCGAGAGAGGAUGGCCAAGAGGAUGAAACUUCCAUGAUCAGGGUUUGGCUGAAAACCGUCAGAGCCACAUUUCCAGUGGAACUUGUAACUGCUUACUCAUCUCAAAUAACUUAAAGCAUGUCAUCACCACUCGAGGCCACAGGAAUGAAUCCUGCCACAGAGUGGAGAUCUGUUUUCUUCCUUAAAGCCCUCAGAGUGUUCUGCUUCAAUUCCCUGCAUGGGAUGUAGAUAUAUUAAAUACCAAAAAAAAAUGACCAUAAAGUGAACAUUAUGGUUGAGAAAUGAGGUCCAAGGAUGCCAAGAAAUUCAAAACUGAGUGUUCCCCCAGCAGCUCUAACUCAGCCAUUUUUGCACUAAUGCGUCCUUUCCCAUUUCGGAAUCCUCGGUGGAACACCCAUUUCAUAUGGACUCUGGAUCCUUCAGUUGAGCCAGGGGAGGAAUGCCUGGAGUCCCUCUGUUCCUUCUCACUUCCUCAGGUCGUGGGAAAAACCCCCUCUCAGACCCUUCCACGGAGCCCUUGAACGGGGCCAGGCAUGGCACAGCAUGCUCUAGAGCCUGGAGCGGGGGCAGGGAGGGGGCAGCCCAGCCCCAGGAAGCUGGACCAGUUCCCUUCCCCAGCCGCUCCCUGAGAGCCAAGAGGCUAGUCCUGGCUCCACACAGCAACUGUAUCCAUGCUGAUAUGCGGGAUGCAUUAGUGGUUCCACACAACUGAUGUGCUCAGGCACCUCCAGGGUACAUUAGUGGAAGAGGCUUCAGCAGCUGGUGGCUCCUCUUCAGGCAUAAUUUAUCUAUUGCACUUUACUUAAUGUGCAAAAUUAAAUUUAUGCUGAAUCCAUGUGUAUUACCUACUGUGCAUGAGCAGCAUGAAAUAUACCAUAAAGCAAAUCAGCACAGAGCCAUGCUCUUAAUUGCUAAUGGCUUUCAACACACUUCAUUGUGGUCUAACCAAACUUGGACUCUGCUCUACACUAAGAAUCCUGCUCGUAUCAAGGUUGAAAAUGCUUCUCCCAGAGAACUUCUGGAGAACCGAAGGACCAAACAGAAAUGCUUUUGAGCCAGUCUUUCUAGAGCCUGUGUCUUUUAGAGCACAGAUUCUGUGCUUUGCACUAAUGUGAUCGAUACAGUUGCUACAUAGGACAUGAUUUUGCUGAAAAUGAACAAAUCAAUGUCAACUUUUUAAAAGUGGAAUAUAAGAAAUAACCCCAGGAUUCAGUCCAAGUUCUGCCAAUUUGGGUUUCUGGUUCCAUAUAGUAAAACAUAGGGAUUAGAAUGGUUGAUUUCCACCCCAACAAGAAAAAAAAAAAAAA